rnacentral:rRNA from 1 species
CACGUAGGGCGCAAGCGUUGUCCGGAAUUAUUGGGCGUAAAGAGCUCGUAGGCGGUUUGUCGCGUCUGCCGUGAAAACCCGAGGCUUAACCUCGGGCCUGCGGUGGAUACGGGCAGACUAGAGGUAGGUAGGGGAGAAUGGAAUUCCCGGUGUAGCGGUGAAAUGCGCAGAUAUCGGGAGGAACACCGGUGGCGAAGGCGGUUCUCUGGGCCUUACCUGACGCUGAGGAGCGAAAGCGUGGGGAGCGAACAGG